GUAGGGAAUAUUGCAAAUGGGCGAAAGCCUGAUGUAGCAACGCCGCGUGUGCGAUGAAGGUCUUCGGAUUGUAAAGCACUUUUUGGAGGGAUGAGGAAGGACAGUACCUCCAGAAUAAGCCUCGGCUAACUACGUGCCAGCAGCCGCGGUAACACGUAGGAGGCAAGCGUUAUUCGGAUUUACUGGGCGUAAAGCGCGUGCAGGCGGUUUGGAAAGUUGGAUGUGAAAGCUCCUGGCUCAACUGGGAGAGGUCGUUCAAAACUUCCAGACUUGAGAGUGGUAGAGGGAGGUGGAAUUCCGGGUGUAGUGGUGAAAUGCGUAGAUAUCCGGAGGAACACCAGUGGCGAAAGCGGCCUCCUGGACCACUUCUGACGCUCAGACGCGAAAGCUAGGGUAGCGAACGGGAUUAGAAACCCUAGUAGUCC
rnacentral:rRNA from 1 species